GUUUAAACCAUUUCUUCGCACACUGUCGAUUGUUCUCAUUUGGAUUCCGCAUGGGAAGUCGGGGUUGCUAGCUCGGGACUUCCACCAACCCGGAGAAAGGCUUUAUUACUCUUAUCAGAUUUUCCUUAAUCGGCUUUUUCUUUAGUGGCAACUUAUGUUAAAGAUUCAUUUACUUCCUCAAAAGAAUCUCUUACUCCACCGAAGCUAACAGCCUAGGUAGCAUCUUUCUCUAUUUUAUCUCGCCACCCCCCUCCUUUCCUUUAAUAAUAGCUUGUUAUUCACGUCUAUCACGCACACCCCAUUCAUUUUCAAGCUAUAAGAUCAUAAAAGAAUCCUAUAAAGGAGUCAUACUAUAGAGUUAGGUUUGAUUCAUUUUCCACGUAGGGAAGCAUAAAAGGAAAGCUGCCCCUUACCUGGUGACCUCUAUUUCCUUUCCGUAAUCGAACCUUCCACAGAAAGCAGCUCGCACUCGAUAAUAAGACUUGAACAUGGAUUCUUUCUCGUCGACUGGACCUUUCACUUGGAACAAGGACCCGGACGAAUAGGGCACGGGAACUACUCUUUUCAUUUUGGGAUUUUAGUAGGUAAGGGCAGCGGGACCAGCAACAUGAACAAUCGGACCAAGCAAUCUAUUAAACCAACUAACAAAGCUACAAGCUUCAGGCAGGAUCCUUUGUUAGGUCUACGAUUAGGGAGUAUGUCACCUUCCCUUCUCUUGGGGGGCCUCAUCGUAUGUUGAGUUUUACUAUACUAAAUGAGUUGGCAUAUUUGAGUCUUUCUUUUCUUUUAAACUAGAGGCAUCGACACAGGCACAACACAAGCAAAGAGGGAAAGAAGCAAUCUACACCAUUUGGGGUAGAAUUGCUUGCCACCGAAUAGAAAAGAAAGGAAACUCUUUCUUUGCCUCUGGUUAAGCCCCUUAUUACGUAAGGCAUCGCAAGGUCCUCGCUUUCGGCCAGAAAGCAAAGGCAGCAUGAUAAGAUAUGGAGCAAGCCAUGAAAUAGGUAUAAUAGGAAUUUAGAAAGCCCUAGAUAAGCAACAGGACCUUUUACAUAGACCAAGGCAAGAACCUCCACCAGUCGACGUGUCUACUCGAAUGACUCUUUUAUACAGUAUGCAGAGUGCUUGCUUUCGCUCCAGCUACUAAAGCCAACCAAUAGACCUGUUCAUACAACAAUAUUCCAACUCAUUUUCCUGCUUUAGUUCUUUAUGCCUUGGUUCGUUCUUUUUGUCAGAAGGUUCUUUAUUCAGCUCCUAGCCCCCUAUUUUCUGAAAAAGUUUGUCUAAAAGGAUGGGUCUUUCCGCUUCAAGUUCCUUCUGUCUUUCCUAUAUACUCUUCUCUGUGUUACUCGUUCUAACCAAAGUAGACAAACUGCUGUUUCCGAGAAAGACUGGCUUAGCCGACGGAAUUGAAUUAAUUACUAAAGCUAGGAGGAUUCCAAGAUUGAUGUUCCUACCUUGUUGAAUUCAGCAUUGGGUUUUCCCUUUUAAUCGAUACAGCUAACAUCAAUUUUUUGGCCAAAAAAUAUCGUAAAUGAUGAGCUUAAGGAACCCAUAAUUCACUAAGCACCUUCAGUACAAGACGACUUUCAUUAAAGAAAGGAAGGAACAUCAAGGAAAACAUUCUUAUGGAUCAACAGAUGGUACGGAAAUUUCAUAGAUACAAAGGCACUCAUAAGUUAUGCGCCAAGUUAGAUAGUCAAAAGUCAAUAUCUGCAAUAUCUUCAGAGCCGCAUCCAGUGCCUACUUAUCUUUCUUAGAAGAAUCAGACCCAAAAGUAGUUCCUUUUGAUCAACCUAAACUGAAAUAAAGCGAAAGGGACCCUCUUCCCACUUCCCUUUCCCAGUCCCAGAAAUGGAGUGAAGGCACUAGCUUUAUCUAAGGUAGUGUGGAUAAGCGUCUGUCCCUUCUUUUGCUCUGGUCUUUGAUUGUGUUAUUACUUAUGUGUUCCGACAUGUGAGUAGAAGCGUUGUGCAUUCGCUUUCCACUUAUUUCAACAAAACGGCAAGAGUGGAAGAGCCAUAGCUGGCAAAGGCACUCAUAGUGCUAGUUCUAAAGCUCAAGUUUACCAGUUGAAGCGCUUGAUUCCCAUUUGAUGAUGUGAUUCAUAACCAAAUGACCCACCCGUGCGUGAACCAGUGAAGACAGGCAGAGGUUCCAAGACCGUUUCAACAACAUCGUAGCGCUUGAUAUGGCGUCUUGCUACUUGCCCGCAUCAGAGCAAGCAUAGGUGGAGACAACAGAGUCAAAGGUAAGAUAUAGCUCUCCCGCUGGAUCGCCCUAACUGGUCAUAU
rnacentral:lncRNA from 1 species